rnacentral:rRNA from 1 species
CCUACGGGCGGCAGCAGUAGGGAAUAUUGCUCAAUGGGGGAAACCCUGAAGCAGCCACGCCGCGUGGAGGAUGAAGGUUUUCUGAUUGUAAACUCCUUUUGUUAGAGAAGAUAAUUACGGUAUCUAACGAAUAAGCACCGGCUAACGCCGUGCCAGCAGCCGCGGUAAUACGGAGGGUGCAAGCGUUACUCGGAAUCACUGGGCGUAAAGAGAGCGUAGGCGGGAUAGCAAGUCAGAUGUGAAAUCCUAUGGCUUAACCAUAGAACUGCAUUUGAAACUGUUAUUCUAGAGUAUGGGAGAGGUAGGUGGAAUUCUUGGUGUAGGGGUAAAAUCCGUAGAGAUCAAGAGGAAUACUCAUUGCGAAGGCGACCUGCUAGAACAUAACUGACGCUGAUGCGCGAAAGCGUGGGGAGCAAACAGGAUUAGAUACCCCAGUAGUC